GCGGGAAUAGCUCAGUUGGUAGAGCAUUAGCUUCCCAAGCUAAGGGUCGCGAGUUCGAGUCUCGUUUNNAGGGACA
rnacentral:tRNA from 1 species